CCUACGGGAGGCAGCAGUGGGGAAUAUUGCGCAAUGGGCGAAAGCCUGACGCAGCGACGUCGCGUGAGGGAUGAAGGUCCUCGGAUCGUAAACCUCUGUCAGCAGGGAAGUACGGUCACUGUGCUAAUCAGCAGUGAAUUGACGGUACCUGCAAAGGAAGCACCGGCUCACUCCGUGACAGCAGCUGCGGUAAUACGGAGGGUGCGAGCGUUAAUCGGAAUUACUGGGCGUAAAGCGCUCGUAGGCGGUAUGUCAAGUCAAGUGUGAAAUCCCCGCGCUCAACGUGGGAACUGCCUUUGAAACUGGCAAACUGGAGUGUGUGAGAGGAUAGUGGAAUUCCAGGUGUAGGAGUGAAA
rnacentral:rRNA from 1 species